CCUACGGGAGGCAGCAGUGAGGAAUAUUGGUCAAUGGCCGGAAGGCUGAACCAGCCAUGCCGCGUGAGGGAAGACUGCCCUAUGGGUUGUAAACCUCUUUUGUCAGGGAGCAACGCCGGCUAAGUGUAGCCGGACUGAGAGUACCUGAAGAAAAAGCAUCGGCUAACUCCGUGCCAGCAGCCGCGGUAAUACGGAGGAUGCGAGCGUUAUCCGGAUUUAUUGGGUUUAAAGGGUGCGUAGGCGGAAUGCCAAGUCAGCGGUAACAUCGCGGGGCUCAACCUCGCUCCGCCGUUGAAACUGGCGUUCUUUAGUGGGCGAGAAGUAUGCGGAAUGCGUGGUGUAGCGGUGAAAUGCAUAGAUAUCACGCAGAACUCCGAUUGCGAAGGCAGCAUACCGGCGCCCAACUGACGCUGAAGCACGAAAGCGUGGGGAUCGAACAGGAUUAGAUACCCUUGUAGUC
rnacentral:rRNA from 1 species